AAUAUCAAAGGUGAGCCAGUACAGGAUGGACCCGCGUCUGAUUAGCUAGUUGGUAAGGUAACGGCUUACCAAGGCGACGAUCAGUAGCCGACCUGAGAGGGUGAUCGGCCACAUUGGAACUGAGACACGGUCCAAACUCCUACGGGCGGCAGCAGUGGGGAAUAUUGCACAAUGGGCGAAAGCCUGAUGCAGCAACGCCGCGUGAGUGAUGAAGGCCUUCGGGUCGUAAAACUCUGUCCUCAAGGAAGAUAAUGACGGUACUUGAGGAGGAAGCCCCGGCUAACUACGUGCCAGCAGCCGCGGUAAUACGUAGGGGGCUAGCGUUAUCCGGAUUUACU
rnacentral:rRNA from 1 species